UCCGGAAUGGUGUAGUGGCUAGCAUUUCUGCCUCUCAAGAAAUUGUCUAAUGACAGUGAAUUUGUUCGCAGGAGACCGGGGUUCAAUUCCCCGUUCCGGAA
rnacentral:tRNA from 1 species